UCUUUGUGUCCUUAUCUCUCCCGAUGCGUGUUACAUGUUGCAGCAAAGAGCAGGGGCGCUGAAGCCGAGCCCAGAAAUCCGACUGGAUUUGACGACGCCCCCGGUAAACAGCGUGGCACAAAAGUCCAUUGUGCUAUGAGAUAACUGCGGGGCUGAAUGGGGGAGGCUGUCACGGGGGGGAUUGUUGGGCCAGUCACCAUCGGAUCACAGUCGAGGCCUGAAUUCCUUUAUGGUUCAUCAGGGCCUGUUGGUACCACAGAAAGUGUCAUGAUCCUUUUUUUCACUGGGGCCAGAUGGUGUCCUUUUCUGAGGCCUUCCUAAUGCCCGGUUUUCCACAUGUAAAACUCCUGGGAAAAUGACCUAACUCACAGCUGCUUAGUGAGGCUUGAGCAGGUCUUUAGAAAGACUUCUGUCAGGAACAAGGCGGCCGUACCACUCCGGGGGAGCAGGGGGAGGCCACCAACACAAACCUACCCCUCGCCGUCUAUAUUUAAGCGGAAAUAAAAUCUCGCCCGGCCUGCGCCGGCCUGCGCGGGCCGGGCCGAGGCCGGCGGGAGAGGCACCGUCGCUGGGCAGAGAAGUGCCAGGAGGGGCCGUGGGGCCGGCAGCCGCAGCAGCCGCUUUCCCUUCCCCGGCGAGCAGAUGGCCUGAAUAAAAACAUAGAAUGUGGUCCAGAAGGGUCGGGAGAGGACAAAAAUCAGAUCUGAGUGGAAAAGAAAUGUACCAUUGAUCUCAGGGUUAGCUCACUUACUGAAAACUUUCCAGGAAUGAUAUUGAGGAACAGCCAUGUAGAAUAAAGCACUCUGUCCUCAAGACUGGUGUUCUGCAGGGAGCUUCUUUGCCAACACGGCUGCUCCAGCGCGGCAGUCGAUGCGCAGGGUUAGGGGCGCAGGAGCAGUGUGUUCUGCCCAUACCCUCCCACUGUGCACAGACCACCAGACCCAGCCUCACAGUCCCCAUAUUGCCUCUGCCACAGUGACAGGGCUUGCCAGUGUAGCAAGCACCCACUCGUGCUGAACCCAAAAACUGAGAAGUUUUUAAGGCCACCAAGCAGGCAUCAAAGAGUUACAGCUCUCAGCUGGCAUCAGCCAAGGCCAGAUUCAAAGCAGUGACCUGGAAGCAAGGGGCUCCGUAUCACCCCCAUGAGUUACCCAGCCCCCUGACACUUCACUUAUUAAAAGGCGACUCCAGGACUAUGUCAGUGCCCUUGUGCCUCUGCAGCAUCAUACUAAAAACCCACUCUUCUCGGUCUUAUAUAUUUGUAAGUCAAUUUGAUACAAUGGAACCACUCUUUUAUUGGUCAAAAUGCUUUGGUGGCUUCUAUUUAUUAUUCUAUUAAGAAUCACAUUAUUUUUGUCAACAAUUGUAUCUGUUUCAUUUUCUCAGGUCUGCUGUCACAGCACUGCUUGAAAAUUUUUGCCAAGUUUGUGCUGGAGAAUUAUACUGAGGGGAACUCUGUGUUCUCAUCAUAUUGUAACUUGGUAGAAAAUGAAA